AUUGAACGCUGGCGGCAGGCCUAACACAUGCAAGUCGAGCGGAGCGGCGGACGGGUGCGUAAUGCUAAGGAAUCUGCCUGGUCGUGGGGGAUAACGUCCGGAAACGGGAGCUAAUACCGCUUCCUAUCAGAUGAGCCUAGGUCGGAUUAGCUAUUGGGUGGGGUAAAGGCCUACCCAGGCGCCGAUCCGUAACUGGGCUGAGAGGGUGAUCAGUCACACUGGAACUGAGAAACGGUCCAGAUCCCGACGGGAGGCAGCAGGGGGGAAUAUUGGAAAAUGGGCGAAAGCCUGAUGCAGCCAUGCCGGGUGUAUGAAGAAGGGCUUCGGGUUGUAAAGCACUUUAAGUUGGGAGGCGUUACCAACAGAAGAAGCACCGGCUAACGACGUGCCAGCAGCCGCGGUAAUUC
rnacentral:rRNA from 1 species